UACGGGGGGAGCAAGCGUUGUUCGGAUUUACUGGGCGUAAAGGGCGCGUAGGCGGCCGCAACAAGUCACUUGUGAAAUCUCCGGGCUUUAACCCGGAGCGGUCAAGUGAUACUGUCGUGCUAGAGUGCGGAAGGGGCUACUGGAAUUCGUCGGUGUAGCGGUGAAAUGCGUAGAUAUCGAGGAGGAACACCGGUGGUGUAGACGGCUCACUGGACCGUAACUG
rnacentral:rRNA from 1 species